GGGGAUAUGACGAAGUGGUAUCGUGCGUCAUUUGCAACUCUAACCUACCUCUACGGGCUGGGUCAAAGGUCUCAGCUUGACGAAAUCCUGGGUUCGAUCCCCAGUGUCUCCA
rnacentral:tRNA from 1 species